CGGGUGAGUAAUGUCUGGGAAACUGCCUGAUGGAGGGGGAUAACUGCUGGAAACGGUAGCUAAUACCGCAUAACGUCGCAAGACCAAAGAGGGGGACCUUCGGGCCUCUUGCCAUCGGAUGUGCCCAGAUGGGAUAGCUAGUAGGUGGGGUAACGGCUCACCUAGGCGACGAUCCCUAGCUGGUCUGAGAGGAUGACCAGCCACACUGGAACUGAGACACGGUCCAG
rnacentral:rRNA from 1 species